UAGGGAAUCUUCCGCAAUGGACGCAAGUCUGACGGAGCAACGCCGCGUGAGUGAAGAAGGAUUUCGGUUCGUAAAACUCUGUUGUUAGAGAAGAACAGCGCAUAGAGUAACUGUUAUGCGUGUGACGGUAUCUAACCAGAAAGCCACGGCUAACUACGUGCCAGCAGCCGCGGUAAUACGUAGGUGGCAAGCGUUGUCCGGAUUUAUUGGGCGUAAAGCGAGCGCAGGCGGUCAAUUAAGUCUGAUGUGAAAGCCCCCGGCUCAACCGGGGAGGGUCAUUGGAAACUGGUUGACUUGAGUGCAGAAGAGGAGAGUGGAAUUCCAUGUGUAGCGGUGAAAUGCGUAGAUAUAUGGAGGAACACCAGUGGCGAAGGCGACUUUCUGGACGAACACUGACGCUGAGGCGCGAAAGCCAGGGGAGCGAACGGG
rnacentral:rRNA from 1 species